rnacentral:rRNA from 1 species
AUUGAACGCUAGCGGCAUGCUUAACACAUGCAAGUCGAACGGUAACAGGACUAGCUUGCUAGUCGCUGACGAGUGGCGGACGGGUGAGUAAUACGUAGGAAUCUGCCUCAUAGUGGGGGAUAACCCGAGGAAACUCGGGCUAAUACCGCAUGAUCUCUAUGGAGCAAAGCGGGGGACCUUCGGGCCUCGUGCUGUGAGAUGAGCCUACGUCGGAUUAGCUAGUUGGUGGGGUAAAGGCCUACCAAGGCGACGAUCCGUAGCUGGUCUGAGAGGACGAUCAGCCACACUGGGACUGAGACACGGCCCAGACUCCUACGGGAGGCAGCAGUGGGGAAUAUUGGACAAUGGGCGCAAGCCUGAUCCAGCAAUGCCGCGUGUGUGAAGAAGGCCUUCGGGUUGUAAAGCACUUUUAGUGGGGAAGAAAAGCUUGUAAAUAAUACUUAUGAGUAUUGACGUUACCCACAGAAAAAGCACUGGCUAACUCUGUGCCAGCAGCCGCCGUAAGAC